rnacentral:rRNA from 1 species
AGUGAACGCUGGCGGUAGGCCUAACACAUGCAAGUCGAACGGCAGCACAGUAAGAGCUUGCUCUUACGGGUGGCGAGUGGCGGACGGGUGAGGGAUACAUCGGAAUCUACUUUUUCGUGGGGGAUAACGUAGGGAAACUUACGCUAAUACCGCAUACGACCUACGGGUGAAAGCAGGGGAUCUUCGGACCUUGCGCGAUUGAAUGAGCCUAUGUCGGAUUAGCUAGUUGGCGGGGUAAAGGCCCACCAAGGGGACGAUCCGUAGCUGGUCUGAGAGGAUGAUCCGGCACAGUGGGACUGAGAGACGGUCCAGACUCCUACGGGAGGCAGCAGUGGGGACUAUUGGACAAUGGGCGCAAGACUGCUCCAGCCAUACCGGGUGGGUGAAGCAGGCCUUCGGGUUGUAAAGCCCUUUUGUUGGGAAAGAAAAGCAGCAGGUUAAUACCCCGCUGUUCUGACGGUACCCAAAGAAUAAGCACCGGCUAACUUCGUG